rnacentral:rRNA from 1 species
UGAGCAAUCUGCCCUUCUCUUCGGAAUAAGCGUUGGAAACGACGUCUAAUGCCGAAUACGACCUCCUUUCGCAUGAUCGGAGGUGGAAAGCUCCGGCGGAGAAGGAUGAGCUCGCGGCCUAUCAGCUAGUUGGUGUGGGUGAUGGCCCACAAGGCGACGACGGGUAGCCCGGCCUGAGGAGGGUGACCCGGCCACACUGGGACUGAGACACGGCCCAGACCUCCGUACGGGGAGCAG